rnacentral:lncRNA from 1 species
ACCAAACAUCAUUAGUGAGCUAACGCAAAAUCACAAUUUUAUUGUCAAUUCCUCAUUGUAUAUGUUAGUUUAUGAUUGUCUAAGAAAUUUACUAUUGAUUAACUAUUAAAUACAUCAUGAUUAAACUGUAAUAUUCAAAUGUGUGCACAUUAAAAAUACCUUCUUAAAACAUAAGAAAACAAAUGAUAAAUGUGAUUACGAUUUCAACUGAAACUAGUGAGGAUAUAAAUUG